CCUACGGGUGGCAGCAGUGAGGAAUAUUGGUCAAUGGGCGCGAGCCUGAACCAGCCAAGUCGCGUGAAGGAUGAAGGCUCUAUGGUUUGUAAACUUCUUUUAUAUGGGAAUAAAGUGAGGAACGUGUUCCUUUUUGUAUGUACCUUAUGAAUAAGCAUCGGCUAACUCCGUGCCAGCAGCCGCGGUAAUACGGAGGAUGCGAGCGUUAUCCGGAUUUAUUGGGUUUAAAGGGUGCGUAGGUGGGUAAUUAAGUCAGUGGUGAAAGUUUGUGGCUCAACCGUAAAAUUGCAGUUGAGACUGGUAGACGUGAGUACAUUUGAGGUAGGCGGAAUGCGUGGUGUAGCGGUGAAAUGCAUAGAUAUCACGCAGAACUCCGAUUGCGAAGGCAGCUUACUAAACUAUAACUGACAGUGAAGCACGAAAGCGUGGGGAUCAAACAGGAUUAGAUACCCCGGUAGUC
rnacentral:rRNA from 1 species